rnacentral:tRNA from 1 species
GGGCCGUUAGCUCAGUUGGUAGAGCAGCUGACUCUUAAUCAGCGGGUCGUUGGUUCAAUUCCAACACGGCCCACCA